rnacentral:rRNA from 1 species
AAUAGAUACCCGGGUAGUCCAUGCCGUAAAACGUUGGGAACUAGAUGUAGGGCCUGUUCCACGGGUUCUGUGUCGUAGCUAACGCAUUAAGUUCCCCGCCUGGGGAGUACGGCCGCAAGGCUAAAACUCAAAGGAAUUGACGGGGGCCCGCACAAGCGGCGGAGCAUGCGGAUUAAUUCGAUGCAACGCGAAGAACCUUACCAAGGCUUGACAUAUAGAAGAACACUGCAGAGAUGCAGGACUCUUUGGACACUUCUAUACAGGUGGUGCAUGGUUGUCGUCAGCUCGUGUCGUGAGAUGUUCGGUUAAGUCCGGCAACGAGCGCAACCCUCGUCCUAUGUUGCCAGCACGUAAUGGUGGGAACUCAUGGGAUACUGCCGUGGUCAACACGGAGGAAGGUGGGGAUGACGUCAAAUCAUCAUGCCCCUUAUGUCUUGGGCUUCACGCAUGCUACAAUGGCCGGUACAAAGGGCUGCGAUACCGCAAGGUGAGCGAAUCCCAAAAGCCGGUCUCAGUUCGGAUUGGGGU